rnacentral:rRNA from 1 species
AUUGAACGCUGGCGGCAGGCCUAACACAUGCAAGUCGAGCGGAUGAAGGGAGCUUGCUCCUGGAUUCAGCGGCGGACGGGUGUGUAAUGCCUAGGAAUCUGCCUGGUUGUGGGGGAUAACGUCCGGAAACGGGCGCUAAUACCGCAUACGUCCUGAGGGAGAAAGUGGGGGAUCUUCGGACCUCACGCUCUCAGGUGAGCCUAGGUCGGAUUUGCUAGUUGGUUGGGUAAAGGCCUACCAAGGCGGCGAUCCGUAACUGGUCUGAGAGGAUGAUCAGUCACACUAGAGCGGGGACACGGUCCUGACUCCUGCGGGAGGCAGCAGCGGGGAAUAGGGGACAGUGGGCGGAAGCAUGAUCCAGCGAUGCCGCGUGUGUGAAGAAGGUCUUCGGAUUGUAAAGCACUUUAAGUUGGGGGGAAGGGCAGUAAGUUAAGACCUAGCUGUUUUGACGUUACCAGCAGAAUAAGCACCGGCUAACUUCGUG